GGUUGAACUUGAUGAUCUCAGAGGUCUUUCAAAACCUAACUGAUUCUGUGAUAGUGUGUGAUUCUGGGGUCUGAUAUUACUGGGAAAGGCGAAUAAGGGCAAUGAAAUGCUUUGAGACCAGAUACGAGAGGAAAUGAAACACAGCUGAGGGGGAAGCAGGCAAGGGGUUGAAGAGGAGCAGGAAAUCGAUGUGAAAGAAGGAAUUUCAGAAGCUGUGAGUUUCUGCAGCUCUAACCAAAACCACAGAAGACUGGGGUCGUCCUCAGGGUGUGCACCAAAAAAAAAAAAAAAUCAGAUCCUCUCCCCAUCUGAUUUUUUCCCGUUCAGCCUAAGGAGCAGUAGUCUCCAAAGUGGAGCGUGCACAAGGCAGUUCCAUGGAACUGUGCAGGAAUUAAGUGCAGGAAUGAAGUGCUGUUAACAGCGGAACCUGCAGGCCGACACCGGGCCCCGAGCAGGCGGAGGGCCUCGAGCAGGCGGAGGGCCCCGCCUGCCGCCAGAGGGCACCCGCGGCCGCCGCCGCUCGGCUCGGCCCGGCUGCACUGCACGCGUGAGGGAAAGGUGCGCGCUGUCGGUACCGGGAAGAGAAGGGAUUUGAAAAUCCUGUCUUAUUCCUGCUAUUUAGCUGCAAUCAGGUGGCACUGGAAAGGUAGUCUUGGCCAGUGUGCUGUUACAAGCUGCUGUACGUCCGUAUGAAACAAAGCGGGUGCUAGGUGACAGCUUUCAGUGCUGAGCGCGGUCGAAAUAAAUAACAUAGCGGUGAAAGAAAACUGGGUUGAAGUUAAGACAGCAAAGAAGAAAACCCACGAGUGAUGCAAGGUUAUUCACCACCUCCUACCAACAGAGCGAAUCUCAGCCAGUCCCUGAGCAACUACCUUUGGGAUUUCCCCCUUCCCCGCAGUUUUUAUUGCCGAAAGUGACGUUAUAUGGUAUGGUACAUCCUUUUGGUCAGCCUGGGUCAGCUGUCCCACCCCAGCCUCUUGUCCACUUCCAGCCUACUCACUCAGGGUGCAGAGGGAGAAACAGGGAAGGCCUUGACCCCGUGCAAGCACUGCUCAGCAAUAGCUAAAACACUUCUGUAUUAUCAACACUGUUUUGGACACAGAUCCAAAACAUUGGGCUAUAUGGGCUGCUGCGAAGAAAAUCGACUCCAUCCCAGCUGAACCCGAUAGAGCUGGGGAACGUUGUGAGAGACGCUAUAAUUCAGGUGCCUUGAGGCAGAGGUACCAGAAGAAUUCAGAGAACGUACAGGCAAUUACAAAAAAAAAGCACUCAGAUUCCGGGCAAAAAAUUAGUUGGCACUAAAGGUAAAGCAAGAGUGAGCAGAAUAUUCAUUCAGCCCUCAAGUAAGGAUAUCGCUGGUGCUUUUCUCUAGAAGGAGCCAAAGAUCCUCAAACACAUACCUUUGAUCACGGGGCUUGCUUUUGAUCACAGGGAACAGCACUGUGCCCGUGCAGAGGUUAUUAUAAUACCUCAGCUGGAUAUCAAAUAAUAACAGCUCUGAUACAUCUAGUGCUGGAAACAUUGAUUGUGAGAUUCCCAGCAAAACGAUGGAACUAUCUGAAUGCAAAAUCUGGAUGGCAAAAGGUCAUUCAUCCAUUUCAGUUGCCCUUCCUUUCACUAGAAAUGGAAGUCCCUGGCUUCUUAAAUCCAUUGCUCUCAAGAGGCCUACUGGCUACAGUAAUAAAGAUGAAGAAUAUAACUUCUGAGGAAGAAUUUUCAAAGAAGACAGGCCUUUCACCAAGAAAUGCUUCAAGUUUUGAGCUAUGUGCAAACACUUGAGAAACCAAUGAUCUGCUUUGCAGCAAAAGCGUAACUGAUAAGCACUUUCUGAGAAGUAAACCACCUGCAGUUUACACUGGAAA